UACGUAGGUGGCAAGCGUUGUCCGGAGUUAUUGGGCGUAAAGCGCGCGCAGGCGGUGCGGUAAGUCUAUGGUGAAAGCGCUCGGCUUAGCUGGGCGAGGCCGUGGAGACUGCCGGACUGGAGGGGAGCAGAGGCGAGUGGAAUUCCGGGUGUAGUGGUGAAAUGCGUAGAGAUCCGGAGGAACACCAGUGGCGAAGGCGGCUCGCUGGGCUCAACCUGACGCUGAGG
rnacentral:rRNA from 1 species